rnacentral:rRNA from 1 species
GGUAUGGGAUGAGCUUGCGUCCGAUUAGCUAGUUGGCGGGGCAACGGCCCACCAAGGCGACGAUCGGUAGCCGGCCUGAGAGGGUGAUCGGCCACAUUGGGACUGAGAUACGGCCCAGACUCCUACGGGAGGCAGCAGUAGGGAAUAUCGCACAAUGGGGGGAACCCUGAUGCAGCAACGCCACGUGUGGGAAGAAGCAUUUCGGUGUGUAAACCACUGUCGUGAGGGAAUAAGGCCUGUUCUAGGACAGGAUUGAAUGUACCUCGAAAGGAAGCACCGGCAAACUUCGUGCCAGCAGCCGCGGUAAUACGAGGGGUGCAAGCGUUGUUCGGAAUCACUGGGCGUAAAGGGAGCGUAGGCGGAGAUUCAAGCGGAUUGUACAAUCCCGGGGCCCAACCCCGGACCUGCAGUCCGAACUGGAUCUCUUGGAUAGUUCAGGGGCAGGC